AUCACUUCUCAGCCUUUUGGCUAAGACCAAGUGUAGUAUUUGUUACCUAGCUAUAGGCUACAUUUCACAAAGAAAUGCCCUUAUUUUUUCCUUAAUGAUAUAAUAAAUGUCAAUUACU
rnacentral:snRNA from 1 species